rnacentral:rRNA from 1 species
CGGUGAUACGGAGGGUGCAAGCGUUAAUCGGAAUUACUGGGCGUAAAGCGCACGCAGGCGGUUUGUUAAGUCAGAUGUGAAAUCCCCGCGCUUAACGUGGGAACUGCAUUUGAAACUGGCAAGCUAGAGUCUUGUAGAGGGGGGUAGAAUUCCAGGUGUAGCGGUGAAAUGCGUAGAGAUCUGGAGGAAUACCGGUGGCGAAGGCGGCCCCCUGGACAAAGACUGACGCUCAGGUGCGAAAGCGUGGGGAGCAAACAGGAUUAGAUACCCUGGUAGUCCACGCUGUAAACGAUGUCGACUUGGAGGUUGUGCCCUUGAGGCGUGGCUUCCGGAGCUAACGCGUUAAGUCGACCGCCUGGGGAGUACGGCCGCAAGGUUAAAACUCAAAUGAAUUGACGGGGGCCCGCACAAGCGGUGGAGCAUGUGGUUUAAUUCGAUGCAACGCGAAGAACCUUACCUACUCUUGACAUCCACGGAAUUCGCCAGAGAUGGCUUAGUGCCUUCGGGAACCGUGAGACAGGUGCUGCAUGGCUGUCGUCAGCUCGUGUUGUGAAAUGUUGGGUUAAGUCCCGCAACGAGCGCAACCCUUAUCCUUUGUUGCCAGCACGUAAUGGUGGGAACUCAAAGGAGACUGCCGGUGAUAAACCGGAGGAAGGUGGGGAUGACGUCAAGUCAUCAUGGCCCUUACGAGUAGGGCUACACACGUGCUACAAUGGCAUAUACAAAGAGAAGCGAACUCGCGAGAGCAAGCGGACCUCAUAAAGUAUGUCGUAGUCCGGAUUGGAGUCUGCAACUCGACUCCAUGAAGUCGGAAUCGCUAGUAAUCGUAGAUCAGAAUGCUACGGUGAAUACGUUCCCGGGCCUUGUACACACCGCCCGUCACACCAUGGGAGUGGGUUGCAAAAGAAGUAGGUAGCUUAGCCUUCGGGAGGGCGCUUACCACUUUGUGAUUCA